AACGAACGCUGGCGGCAUGCCUAACACAUGCAAGUCGAACGAGACCUUCGGGUCUAGUGGCGCACGGGUGCGUAACGCGUGGGAACCUGCCCUUAGGUUCGGAAUAACUCCCGGAAAGGGGUGCUAUUACCGGUUAAGUUCUUCGGCCCAAAGAUUUAUCGCCUUUGGUUGGGCCCGCGUUGGAUUAGCUAGUUGGUAGGGUAAAAGCCUACCAAGGCGACGAUCCAUAGCUGGUCUGAGAGGAUGAUCAGCCACACGGGGACUGAGACACGGCCCAGACUCCUACGGGAGGCAGCAGUGGGGAAUAUUGGACAAUGGGCGAAAGCCUGAUCCAGCAAUGCCGCGUGAGUGAUGAAGGCCUUAGGGUUGUAAAGCUCUUUUACCCGGGAUGAUAAUGACAGUACCGGGAGAAUAAGCUCCGGCUAACUCCGUG
rnacentral:rRNA from 1 species